UUUUCAUGUGAGAGUUAUUGGUGAUAGAUCCGUUCUUCAUACUCUUCUCCAACCAUAUGACCUCGCCGAUUCCCUCGUCGGUCCCAAAGGUGGGCAUGUUGGGGGUGUAUGGGUGAGUGAUGUCGAAGAUACGUCCGUCGGCGUAGACCUCUCGUUUCACGGGGAUGAGCUCGACGUUGCAGGAGCCCGAGCCGUAGGCAGAGGGAUAAGCCUCGGAGGCGAAGGAAGAGGGGAGGAAGAGAGUGGCCACAGUGACCACCCCGGCGCAGAGCAGUGGGAGCAACAGCGAGGAUCCCAUGGUGGUGAAGAUUGAAGAAGAGAGAAGAGUCACUGAGGGAUAUCCAAGCUCACUGGUUGAAGGGCCUUAUAUAAAAG
rnacentral:lncRNA from 1 species